UACGUAGGCAGCAAGCGUUGUUCGGAGUUACUGGGCGUAAAGAGUGCGUAGGCGGUUGCUUAAGUUUGGUGUGAAAUCUCCCGGCUCAACUGGGAGGGUGCGCCGAAAACUGGGCAGCUUGAGUGUCGGAGAGGUAUGCGGAAUUCCUGGUGUAGCGGUGAAAUGCGUAGAUAUCAGGAGGAACACCUGUGGUGUAGACAGCAUACUGGACGAUAACUGACGCUGAGGCACGAAAGCGUGGGUAGCAAACAGG
rnacentral:rRNA from 2 species